UACGUAGGUGGCAAGCGUUGUUCGGAAUUAUUGGGCGUAAAGCGCACGUAGGCGGCUUGGCAAGUCGGAUGCGAAAUCCCUCGGCUCAACCAAGGAAGUGCAUCCGAAACUGCUGAGCUUGAGUACUUAAGAGGAUCGCGGAAUUCCCGGUGUAGAGGUGAAAUUCGUAGAUAUCGGGAGGAACACCCGUGGCGAAAGCGGCUCUCUGGAACGGUACUGACGCUGAGACGCGAAAGCGUGGGGAGCGAACAGG
rnacentral:rRNA from 1 species